rnacentral:rRNA from 1 species
GUUGACAGUCAUCGGCGUAAAGAGUGGUUAAGAUGUAUAGAAACUAAAGCUAAAUGCCUUCAAAGCUGUUAUACGCUCUCGAAGGUAAGAAACCCAACUACGAAAGUGGCUUUAUUAAAUCUGACUCCACGAAAGCUGGGGCACAAACUGGGAUUAGAUACCCCACUAUGCCCAGCCUUAAACAUUGACAGUUAAUUACACCCACUGUCCGCCCGGGUACUACGAGCGCUAGCUUAAAACCCAAAGGACUUGGCGGUGCUUUAGACCCACCUAGAGGAGCCUGUUCUAGAACCGAUAAUCCCCGUUAAACCUCACCCUUCCUUGUUCUUUCCCGCCUAUAUACCACCGUCGUCAGCUUACCCUGUGAAGGCCCUAUAGUAAGCACAAUCGGCAAUGCCCAAUACGUCAGGUCGAGGUGUAGCGAAUGGAAGGGGAAGAAAUGGGCUACAUUUACUAAUAUAGUAAAUACGGAUGAUCACCCUGCAACGAGUAUCUGAAGGAGGAUUUAGCAGUAAGCAAAAAAUAGAGCGUUUUGCUGAAAUUGGCCCUGAAGCGUGCACACACCGCCCGUCACUCUCCCCGAACUAAGAUCUAAAACAUAACUAAUAUGCUAUAAC